GGUGAAUGGUGAACGUGGCUGCCACCAAGUUUCUAACCUGCGGAAGCCUGCAGAGAUAAGGAAAGAAUUUGGGAGAGGGUGGAGUCAGGCUGAACUCCUGCAGAGAGGGAGGGGCAGGCACUUCAGGCGUGGAGUGGGGCUGAGCAGGGAUCGAGGGCCACAAGGUAGGGGUGAGAGCCUGGGCUGUAGCGGGUGGAGGGGUACAGACCACAGGCCAUGGGAACUUCCUGAAACAGCUGAGGGAUUCAGACUUGGUCUCAUGCUGCAGGGGACAGCAACAGAGGUUGUGUGUGGUUUUUGUUUUUGUUUUUUGUUUUUUUUGAUUAAGGGAGUGUUUUCAUCCCAUCAGGCGUUAAGAUUAAGUUGGAGAAAA
rnacentral:lncRNA from 1 species